rnacentral:rRNA from 1 species
UACGUAGGGUGCAAGCGUUAAUCGGAAUUACUGGGCGUAAAGGGCGCGUAGGCGGCCUGUUAAGUCGGACGUGAAAUCCCUCGGCUCAACCGGGGAACUGCGUCCGAUACUGGCGGGCUUGAAUUCGGGAGAGGGAUGUGGAAUUCCAGGUGUAGCGGUGAAAUGCGUAGAUAUCUGGAGGAACACCGGUGGCGAAGGCGGCAUCCUGGACCGACAUUGACGCUGAGGCGCGAAAGCCAGGGGAGCAAACGGG